GAUGAACGCUGGCGGCGUGCUUAACACAUGCAAGUCGAGCGGGCAAUUUAUCUAGCACUGAUUACUUCAAAUGGAAAUCAUAAGUGUAAUCAUGAAUUUCUACCUUUAAUAAAGAAAAAAGAAAUUCAUGUACGCAAAUAGUGAUAACACAUUUUAGUGGAGUGAUGAGUGCUGGAUAAAUUGCUAGCGGCGGACGGGUGCGUAACACGUGGGUAACCUGCCCCUAUCACUGGGAUAACACACUGAAAAGUGUGCUAAUACCAGAUAACAUAAGCUUUUGGCAUCAUUAGCUUAUCAAAGAAUUUCGGAUAGGGAUGGGCCCGCGUCUGAUUAGCGGUAUUGGGUGAGGUAACGGCUCACCAAGGCAACGAUCAGUAGCCGACCUGAGAGGGUGAUCGGCCACACUGGAACUGAGACACGGUCCAGACUCCUA
rnacentral:rRNA from 1 species